rnacentral:rRNA from 1 species
CGGCGGCGUCUAUACAUGCAGUCGAGCGGACAGAAGGGAGCUUGCUCCCGGAUGUUAGCGGCGGACGGGUGAGUAACACGUGGGUAACCUGCCUGUAAGACUGGGAUAACUCCGGGAAACCGGAGCUAAUACCGGAUAGUUCCUUGAACCGCAUGGUUCAGGAUGAAAGACGGUUUCGGCUGUCACUUACAGAUGGACCCGCGGCGCAUUAACUAGUUGGUGAGGUAACGGCUCACCAAGGCGACGAUGCGUAGCCGACCUGACAGGCUGAUCGGCCCCCUGGGACUG